UAAAACAAUUUUGAAGACAGUUUUACACAGAAGUAUUCAUUUUAUUUUUUAACUCUCUCUCUGUCAUUUCCCCUAUACAGUCACAAUCCUGAGAAUGGUGUAUCUGUUGUUGCUUGGCAACAGAAGUGUGAGCCCCUCCCCCACCAGUGUGCAGCUGUUGUGAAUGAGGAGGGAGGAGCUGAGCACCCAUCAGCCUCUCAGCAGCCUGGAUCCCCACACAGGGACUGUAACAGACAGGUGGGGUCGGUGGGGGUCUGGCCUUUGAUUGGCUGUUGCCGUAGGAACCAUAGGAGAGCUGCCAUUCUGGCUCAUUCUCACUCUUCCUUCAGGUCAUUGUCAUGGCAACCCAGAGAGAGAUUCCAUGAUGACACACACAAUAUCAGAAUCGAGGAAUCUGAGCUCCUGUUUAUCCAUAGAUUUAAACUAAACCACCGUCAACGGAGCCAUCAUGUUAUAUUUGGAAGUCUGCUUUGAACAGUGCUCUUGAAGGGGUGCCAUGUCCAUGUAUUAUUAAGCAUCUUUGGGCUUGACUCAUAGAGAUAUACAGUUUAUGGAGUCAAUAAAAUAGGCAAGUGCAGAUCACUAUAUUUGCGGUAUGUGGCUUAUUUCCAAAGUGACGCGUUUGAAUUUAAGUUUAUUAUGGGUUUGUUCUUAUUUGUUGU